rnacentral:rRNA from 1 species
AAAACUUUCAACAACGGAUCUCUUGAGUUCUCGCAUCGAUAAGAACGCAGCGAAAUGCGAUAAGUAGUGUGAAUUGCAGAACUCCGUGAAUCAUCGAAUCUUUGAACGCACAUUGCGCCUCCUGGUAGUCCGGGAGGCAUGCCUGUUCGAGCGUCACCA